GCCCUCGUAGCUCAGUGGAUUAGAGCACUCCUGUCCUAAAGGAGGUGUCGCAGGUUCGACUCCUGCCGAGGGCUCCA
rnacentral:tRNA from 1 species